UAUUUCUGCAAUAUCUAUUCUAUUGUUGACGUGAUGCCAGCCCCGUUCCCCACGCAGCGAGCGGCCGGCCGGCGGCGAUCCGCAGACGUAAUGCGACAUAAUGGCCUCCGCCCACUGCUGAGGCUGCACGCUGGGCGCUUCAGUGCCCCCCCCUGACCCCGUCCCAGAGGAGGAUGCCCGUGUGUUGGUGGAGUCCAGCAGCUCAGCGCAGCGCGACUGAAAGGAGGUGCGGCCUCCAUUUUAUUCUAAGAACAUAUCGUCGUAAUAUCUUUCAAUUCAAUUCAACUUGACCCCAGAGGGCUCUACUAAUGGUUCACAUGCGACGUCUUCGCUCCGGUUAGAAAAGUGGAAGGAGACAAAUAACAACUAAAACAACCAACCUCAGUCUAAGUCUUUGCUAUUUAUGGGUUUGUCUCACAGCUUCGUCUUACUAUCACACUGUUCAAACUGAACCAGAAGUUCUAACUCAUCUGACUCAUCGAACUCAAAAGAAUACCGCGAAGACCUGGACGAAUCCAUUUGGGCCUUUUAGGCCUCUUGGGUGGCUGAAGUGCAUCUGGAUGCCGGGCUGCGUGGUGCUGAGCUCUGGGUCGGUACUCCGGGCCGAUACCAGCUGUGUGUGGGUUUAACCAAUGCACGUGCACACGGUGGCGCGCAGCACACAGCGGAGCCUUUAAUAACCGCACGUGUGGCUUUAGAGCGCUCAGCUUUGUGUGUCUGUAAACGUUUCGAGUUUAGAUCCAUCCAUCCAUCCAUUUUCAACCGCUUAUCUGGUCGCGGGGGCAACAGCUCCAGCAGGGGACCCCAAACUUCCCUUUCCCGGGCCACAUCUACCAGCUCUGACUGGGGGAUCCCAAGGCGUUCCCAGGCCAGUGCAGAGAUAUAAUCUCUCCACCUUGUCCUGGGUCUUCCCCGGGGCCUCUUCCCAGCUGGCCGUGCCUGAAACACCUCCCUAGGGAGGCGCCCAGGGGGCAUCCUCACCAGAUGCCCAAACCACCUCAACUGGCUCCUUUUGACGCAAAGGAGCAGCGGCUCUACUCCGAGCUCCUCGCGAAUGGCUGAGCUUCUCACCCUAUCCCUAAGGGAGACGCCAGCCUCUCUCCUAAGGAAACCCAUUUCGGCCGCUUGUACCCGUGACCUAGUUCUUUCGGUCAUGACCCAUCCAUGAACCGAGUUUAGAUGAAGGUCUAAAUAAACAAAUACAUAUUUUAUGAUUUUAAAAUGUCACUGUUGUACUGGUUUACUGUUUAUAAUUGACUUGAUAUGAUUACACAGUUUAAAUAGUACGUUGCACAGAGGUACAGAAGAAGAAGAAUUGCAUUCUUGCUGUGAAGAAAUGAAUGUAUUGAACUUGCUCUUCAGGAGGAAAGAACACAACAGUGAAGCUGAACAGCGGAACGUUGAUUGAUUUUUUUCUACUAAUGAGGCCAUUUUUCUGUUUGCAUAUUAAAAGCGCACAGAUGGUUUGUGUUUGCAGUGGGUUUCAUUGUGUGCCAGGGUUCAUCUUUGUGUUUGGCACUCAAGCUGUUGACUAGGAGCUCGGCAGAACGAGUCUUUGGGGUUUUAUCUGCAGGUAGAAGUUCGUCCUUCUGAUGGAUUUAUUCUUCCUUCCACCGGUGGAUUUCUGCUGCUGCUGCUUUUAAAGAGAAGAGAGAAUUACUUUGAUUGUGAGGCUAUUGUUCAUCUUUUAGAUGCAAAAUACGUUUUCAUUUAUUUCCAUGAAACAUGUUAAUCACACUAGUGGAGUCUGAGUUGUACACUGGUAACAUUCAAAUCUGUUGGUGUUUUCAAAAGGCGACAACGAUGCAAAUGCUGGCAAAUUAAACAGGAAUCUUCCAGAAAGCAACCAAGUGAUGGAGUCCCAACCUUCUCUUUAUUGGACAAACACUUUUAGAAUGAUACAAAUAUUCGUGGUCUUAUUUUCUCUCAUGUGGACUUGUGACUGUGUAGUGUAGUGCACGCAUGUGCUGGCAGCUUUGAUCUUCUCUUUUCAUUAUGAGAACGAGCAUUUUAAAAGAACACAGAUCACCAAAGGUGUUACAGGAGGGAAGAACCAAAAUGCAAAUGAAUGAAUAGAAAAUGAAGUUAGUUCUUCCUUGUAAAGUGUACUAAUGUAAAACUAAUGUAAAGUGUAGAUGGAUCGUUAGCACACAAUCUGACACUUGUUUAGCUGAUUUUGUUGCAACUUUACAUUGUGACUAAUUCUAAUGAGCUUUGUUGUCUGCAUCAUGGAGCCAACUAGUGGAAGCAUCCUUCUUAGUAGUGUUUGCACAUGGUGCGGUAGUCGUGUCAAUUUAGCUUUUGAUUUUAACAAAUUCAUUUCAUUUUGACGCAGCAAAGAAUUGGAACAUAUUGGAUUGUGGUAAUAAAAAUAAGCAGCAUGAGUAAUGUGUGCGCAUGCCUCAUGGCUAACCUGCCUCCAAAGACUGUCCGUCAGACUCCGACUACUUCAAGUCCAAUUUUCUACUUAAGAGUAAAACAUCGGGCUCCAGAUCGCUUUGUGCUCACGUAGAUCUGCAAGCUUACACAAUACCCUCCCGGUGGACCCUCCACCAAAACACUGUGUGGACAGAUCGCACUGACACGUGUUACAAACUCAGGAUUUAAUAAACAAUUACAAUAGCUUUUCUUAACAAUACACUACGUACUUUUAAUAUUCUACUGGCUGUGAUAUAAUAUAAUAAUAUUUUCAUGGCACAGGUUUUCUUUGACAUUCUAUUACUGGUGGUGUUACAUUGCUCAUGUAAAAGUUUGAGGUGAUUCUCAAAACAAUGAAGCAAAGUAAAGUAUGCCAUGAAAAUACCUUAACAAAAGGUGUAGUAUUUCAUAAAAACGUAACGCAUAUCAUACAAAUUCCAUAAAUGAGAUAUUAUGGUUUGUGUGGCAUAAGACUUUCUACCGCGUGUACAUUUAUAGGAUGACAAACAGGAGGCAGAACGAUCCAGAGAGAAGAUGUGGAUGAUCGAUCCAAUCUAGCCCAGAUAUUAUUCACGAGCCUGGACGAUGGGCAAUCACAAAAAACGGCAGAAUAGAAAAUUCAUACUAAAAAUCAAUAUGGCCGACAUCCGGUAUGGCGUGGAUCCUAAGUCUCUACGGGACACAUCAGCCCAUCAUCUUCCAAACAUCUAGGUCACACUUCCACGUUUAAAUGGGCGCUAUCGAGGCAAAUCUUCCCAUCAAAGCCCAAAUUCCAUUUUAAAUAUUGAUUUCCAUCAGAUAUCACACAAAGAUGAGUUUUUGAUUCAGAGAAAAAUCUGCUAUCUUUCCAUGGCGGACAACGAGUUACCACGACAACAGCGUUAAACAAAAACUCACAAUAUCCAUGAUAAAGUAUCAUCAAUGUCUCAAGGUGCAGUACAAUCGAUCAGGUCAAUCGGCCAGGAGGAGUACAUCAAAGUAUAAAACAGCAGGUGGCGCUACAACUUAAAAACGCGUAGCAUCAUGUAAACUGGAAUUACAACUCUCUAUCAUAGCGUCAUGGACUGUAUGUCCAAGAAUGUCCAAUGUCAAAGAAAUGUCAUUAAAAGGUCCUUGUAUUGUAUUUUAGGUAAAUAUUCUAGUAUAACAUGUCGUUAAAUAAAAUUGUAAUAUUUGAAAUAGUAAUGGUACGAUAUUUGAGACAUCAUAUUUUAUUUUGUUUUGUAUGACAAUAUGAUGUAUGAAUUUGUUGAGGUGUGAUAAUUGCUCGUUCAGUUGAGUGUCCAACUGCCACAAGCCGUGAUGCACUCAGUGGUCUGACAUGCACGUACUCACAUUCCUCAUGGAAUCCAGUUAACACCAUGAAAAGACCCAUGAGGAUCUUUCACAGACCCGUGGAUACGUGUUACCACUUUGUUUGUUAUUUCAGUUUGUGUUGUUCCUGCCUCUAAAUCAGCGUGUUACCCAGAAGCUUCACACUUACACUUUACUGUUAAAAUUCUAUAUUUCAUUGAAAUCCGUUCUGUGUCACUUUGCUCUCUGACUGCCUGAUCGGGCCGCGAUGGAAUCCAAAGAGCAGCCGGGACUUUGGGACUUGACAGGGUUGGCACUGCGACCUGGUCGUAAUUUAUUCAUUGGCUUAGGUUCAUCACCAGUUUACUCUGAACAAACCUUUGAGCCCUGCAGGCUGUUCCUUGACUCGUGAAAACCAACAAACACCGAUCAUUCAAUAAUUACGACUUCAUGGCCAAACUGAAACAAGUGGGCCGGUGUGUGCACGUACACUAUCACAGCUUCCAGUACCGCUGUUGGCAGACAGCGGCAUCGAAGUGUACUCUCCGAGUCAUUAACUCCACAAAGACGGCCUUUUCUCCGGGUGAAUGAUCCACCUAAUCUGCUGCGCUGGAUGUGCAACGCAGUGAAGCAGCGAUCCAGAACUCGUGCAUUUCACUCUAUAUGAAUUCAUUAUUUUUCUUCCGCCCUCUUUCCCGCUCUGAUCUCCUCAAACACCGGCGAUAAGGAAUUUCACACACGCUCCUUGCUGAGUCGGGAUCCCGCAUCUGAAAUGUGGAUGUGUGGAAUUAGGGAUUAGGGUGGUGUGGCGGCCAUGCUGGCGCUGCCGUAUGGGGAGAGAUGAGGAGGCGGCCGGGCUGCGUUCCUGCCUGCCAGCCUCUCCUAGAGAUACGGCCUCUGUCAAACCCGAGCACAUCCCCAAGUACGCCCCCGCAUCUCUCAGUGAGCUCAGGCCCACCUUCUCUGGCAGAACGCAGCAGGUAUGCACUUCCACCAAGAAGUGCCUCAGUACCUGUGCAUGUGCAUGCAGAUAAGGACGUUGAUGAGCAGGCAGUACUCCACAAAACACAUGGGUCAUUUCCAGUUUGACAGAGAUCCUCAGCUUUGACCAAAAUAGAUCCCCGAACUCCACCAGCUGCGGAUCGCCCAGCGAUAUUUAACUGGUUAAAGGACAUCUGCAGGCUCUGCUGUCCUUCAGAACAUAUUUAAAGCAAGAAAGAGCCUAAAAGGUCAAGAUUUUACAAAUCCCAACAGCUCUCUUCCCCACAGCAAUACUGUGUUUGGAGUUUCAACACGGAGGACAGCUGGAUGAACGUUGGAUGAAUGAGUUGGAUGUGUGAGGGUUAACGCUGGCACACUUUGGCAGAUUUUAGUUUAUGUGUGUUUCAGUAUCUUGAAAGUUUACGUGACGGAUAUUUACAAGCCCAAAACUGUUAAUUGCCAUAGCUCUGCUUUAACUUCUAAUGACAUGUACAGUAUCUUGUUUCCCAGUAAUUUUACAGUCAUCUACAGUUAGAGCUCUAUAUUCCUGUAUUCCCUGUUUUGGAGGGAAUAUUUAAACAUGCAGUAUCCCAACACAUUGAAGGCUAAUCUGGAGACGCACUUCUGACGACUCAGCAAAAAGGUCAGUUGUGUCUUCGUCUUCAGCAGUGUUCUGGUUAUUGAGCCACCUCGGAACAUUGAGGACACUAUUUUCUACCUUUCAGUGAUUAACAGGUGCAGUUGUUUGCAAUUCCGCUCACUCAAAAUAUUAGUUCUUUCAGAGGUCGUUGGUGGAAACGUUUGCCCCCUGGAGAACAAAUGGGGACACUUCCUUGGGAUUUCAUUCUUUGUACGUCAGGAAAGUGUCCAAAUGGGGCAAUGCAAAAUGUGACCACCACAUUGAGACUAAGGACCCCAUACGUGUACAGAUAUUUUGACUGCCAGUGUGGAAAUUUCCUUAGAAACAAGUCAUUUUAGUCCAAACCGGUAAACAGUUGAAGUAGAAACCGACAAUUGAUGCCAUCACACAAUAUGUGUAAUUCCCAAGCAGACAACAUAUUGUGUUGUCUAAUUUGGUCAAAUUAUCUCUUAUUGUGUCUGGAUUCAGACAUAAGUGUCCGCUGAAUGAACGUAGUUCAGUAAAGUGCAGAUCCAACAUCUUUUAAUCGAAGGAGUGAGACAACUUUUCCAGGUAAAUGUUAAAUCCCUUUCAAUGUUUUAUUUUUUUUUAUUCAAAGACUGUCAAUUCAUUUUUUUCUACAGUGUAAAAGGUCACAAUUUGAACUUAAGUUGAAAACAAGGGAAAUUGAAAAAGAAAUGCGAUUAAUAUGAAAACAUGUAAUAGAAGAACGACAUCCAUACAGUAUGUUCCAGUAAGCAAAGAUAUCACACGACUGUGUGAGAGAAAAAGAUAAAACCACAAGUUUAGAAAAGGUAUCACGUAUGUCGCAAAACAAGCUCAGUCGAGGAAGAAUAUGGACUACAGAGCAGGGUCAGCAACCAAAAUAUCAACAUAAUACUAUCAAAAAAAAUAUAGAAAAACUGUAACCCUGAACAUUUACAUGAAAUAUACAUAAUUUGAGUAAAAUCACAUUAAGAAGGAAAAACAGUUAUCAGAGGAAUAAAGGGGACAUUUAUGCUUUGAACACUCACACAGUGCAGUCAUAAGAAAAUAGAAGUGAAUGACAACAUAGAAUAAGACCAAAAGGAGAUACAUAUAAUAACAAUAUAUAGCCUGCAUAUAUAUAUAU
ensembl:lncRNA